GGGGGGCCAGCAUGCUGGCAGCCUUUCAGAUGGGGAAACUGAGGGCCCAGAGAGGGGAGCACUUGCUCAAGGCCCCGCGGGAGCCAAGUGUGCCCGGCGGAGGCGGUGUGAAAGGAGACGGCGGUCACACGGACCUGGCUGGGAUCCCGGUCCCCUCACCUCCCGCUGUGUGUCCUCGGGCAGGUCACCCACCCUCUCUGAACCUCAGUGGAUACGACUGCUGAUCAUAGAAGCCACCGCUUUGUUUCCGG